rnacentral:tRNA from 1 species
AGCUUCGUAGUGAAAUUCAUGACGGAUUGCAAGUCUGUAGAUGUGCUUUAGAUAGCGCCGAAGCUU